rnacentral:lncRNA from 1 species
UAUAUAUAUAUAUACACACAUAUAUGUGUACAUAAUUGAAUACACUAUUGCUAUUAUUAUUAUUGUUUUCUGUUAGAUCAACUAAGGAAAAGAAAAGUUAGUAUUUUACCUUUACUUAUGCAUUUUCUGGUGCUCUUCCUUUAUUUAUGUUGAUCUGAAUUUCUGACCUACAUAAUUUUUUCCCUAUGAAGAACUUCUUUUGCAAGGCAGGUUUACUAAUGAAAAAAAAUCCCUUAAUUUUUAUUUUUCUGAGGAAAUCCUUAUUGCUCCUUUACUUUUGAAGAAUAACCUCACAAGGUGCAGAGCUUUAAGUUGGUGGGUUUUAUCUCUUAACACUUAAAAUAUUUUAUCCCACUCUCUUCUUGCUAUGCAGCAAGCUUGCUUGCUUCCUUGUUUCUCAGGAGAAGUCAGUUGUAGUUCUCUGCUCCUCUAUAGGUGAACUGUUCUUUUCCUCUGGUUUCUCCCAAGAUUUUUUUUCAGCUUUGAUUUUCUAAGUUUUUAUAUGAUAAAUGCCUAGAUGUACUUUUUUGGCAUUUAUUCUUCUUGGUAUUUUCUGAGAUUUCUGGAUCUGUAGUUUGGUGUCUGACAUUAAUUUAGGGAAUUUGUAAUUUUUGCGUCCAUAUUGCUUUAGCUCCUAUCUCUCCUUCUUCUCUUUCCAGCAUUAUCAUUAUGUAUAAGUUACAUCUAUUUAUAGUUAUGCCACAGUUCUUGCACAUUGUGUUCUAUUCUUAGCAUUUUAGUCAUAGUUUAAGUUGUUUUUUUUUUUUAAAUUCCUGGUCUGAUAAUUCCAACAUUCCUGCCAUAUCUGAAUAUUGCUCUGAUGAUUGUCAGGUCGCUUCAAACAGUUCUUUUGCCUUUCAGUGUUUCUUGUUAAUUUUUUUAUUACACCUUGUUGAAAGGUAGAUGUGUUGUGCCAGGUAAAAGAAACUUCUAUAAACAGGCUUAUAGUAAUAAAGUGGUAAGAAGGGAGUGGACAGGAAGUGAUGUAUAGUCCUACUAUUACAUCUCAGUCUUACGGUAAUCCCAUGCCUCUGGACUGCAGACUUUUCUCAGUCUCCCUACUCCCCACAUUAGGUGAGACAAAAUGACUAGAUGGGCUACAGUUGGGUAUUUCCCUACCCUUAGGUAGAUUAAGCUCUGAUAUAAUCCCAGCAGGUUAGGUUCUGGUUAAUUAGUUUCUUUUGAGGGUAGGCCUAAUUAAGAAGAAGAGAAUUCUCUGGUGUGUUUCAAAAUGUUUCCUAUUCCCCUUCCCUUGCCAGAGGCAUGAGGGGAUUUUUCUCCAGUAUUCACUGUUAGGAUCUGGUAGAAUUCCUGGAAAUAAAAGUUGUAAGAGUCUGAGGGUCCCCCUAGAGUUUUUAACUCUCAGACUUGUACAUUCUGAGCCUCCAGCUAUCCAUCAACUACUGUUCAGAUUUUUCUAACCCAGCACUGUUGCUAUGAAGGUUUCUACUAACGGAUUUCUACUCCAGUAAGCUGUGAUUCUCUGUAUGCACCUAUCUCUCCAAUUGUUGGGGCAGUAGAUUUGUCCUGAGACCCCACUUGUCUGAUGGAGCUAAGAAGAGUUUUUAAUGUUUUAGUUUGUUCAGCUUUUUAUCUUUUGCUAGGACUGAGUGAAGACUUCUAAACUCCUUAGGUGCUUGACCAGAAACCAGAAGUCUCUAACUUUAUAAACAUACAUACAUUUGGUUUGGUCUGUUUCUUCCCCCUUUGAAUUUCUUUAUUAAACCUGUCAAAUUUUGUCCAGGCUUCAUGAUUAACCUAAAAAUGCUACCUAAUAUCUGACACUUGAUCUCCCAACUUAGACAUAAUUUGUUUUUAUUUUUAAAUUUAUAUCUACUAUAUUUUAAGGUACUUAUUAAUUUUGACUCCUGUGGGAAGUGUACAUGAAGCUAAGCAUGUAUUUAGAUUAAGUGCUAAUUAGUCAGACUUCCCAGAAAAAGUAGGAUUUGAACUGGUUCUGAAAAAUGAGUCAUAUACUGACCAAAUGGUCUCUGACAAAUAAUUUGACAUUUUUGGUAUUUUGAGAACACUAUAUUCAAAAUGCACUUUUAAAUAAGCUUUCUCUUAUGUGCUUUAUAACUGGGGUUGACAAACUACAGCCAGUGGACCAAAUCCAGCCCCUGACUAUUUUUGGUCGAACUUGAAGCUGCAGCAGAAGAAGAUAUGGAAAAACUAAAAUCUUCCUCAAGCAAAUAUUAGAGUAAUUGUCAUUAUCUCACCAUGCUCUUUUCCUGGUUAUAAAUAUGCUAGAAAACAUUCUUACUGUAAUUUUAAUAAAGUAUUUCUCUAUGUUUUCUUCUGAUUAUUUUUAUUAUUUUAUAUGUUAUUUGACUAUGUAGUCAACUUAGAAUUUUUGUGCAUGUGUGUAAAAGUGACAUUGCAAGCUAAUUUUCUAUAUGAAUAAAAACUGUCUCCAUGCUGCUUAUUUGGUCAUUACAGGUACAGGAAAGUCAUUUUUUAAUGUUGAUCUUGUAUUACUGAGCCCUCUUAUUAAUUUCAAUGGUUUUUCAGUAGAUUCUUCUAAGUUUUUAAGUAGAUGGCCAUAUCAUCUAAAAUAAUGCUGCCUCUCUUGACUCAAUAUUGGUAAUUGCUUUUAUCUAGAAAAAUCAUGCAAUUAUUAUAGACCGUAGUGAAUUUUAUAAUUCCUUUACUGUUUUUAUAUUCCCAUUAUAUAUUAACAUUUAGAAUUUAACUUUAUUUUUUAGUCUCAGGUUAGUUUCACAAGGAGAUACAAGUGCCACAGACCCACUUUAUGGGAUUAGUGUCCACCAGCACAGGGGACACUGUGGCAGCCUUUGAGUGAAUUAGCUGAGUGGCACUUAGUUUGCAACACACCGAAUAUAGCAUCUGAUCACAGUUCAAGACAUUUGAGAGGGAAGAAACAAAGGGAGAUGGGGAGAAGAAUCUAAGUAAGAUGUUAGCAGUAGCACUCACUUUCAUAUUCACCAACUGAAGGCUAAGGAAAGCAGCUGG